rnacentral:rRNA from 1 species
AUGUAUCAAGAAGCAGAGAGCUGUUUUAAUGAACUUGUCAAUAGAAGCUUGAUUCAGCUAGUUGAUGAUCAUGAUGAUGGUUUCAAACAAUACUGUCAAGUUCAUGAUAUGGUCCUUGACCUUAUAAUAUCUCUGUCAGAUGAAGAGGAGUUUGCCACUGUUCUAAAUGGUGUUUUCAAUUCUUCGGCAAGCAAGAUCCGUCGGCUCUCCGUGCAAUGUAGUGGGCUUGAACAGAUGAAAGCUGCAACCCAUGCCAUCAGAACAAGCAAGUUACAUCUUCGCUCAUUGAAUCUGUUUGGAGAAACAAAGGAGAUACCCCCACUUGUGGACUUCCAAUCUUUGCGCGUGUUUAAUAUAUGUGGGUAUUCUUCUUUGUGGGAAAACAAGCAUAUAAGAAAUAUAGGAAGUUUCUAUCAACUAAGGUUUUUGAGAAUUCAGGGUAGAAUCACGGAGCUUCCUGGAGAUAUUGGGAACCUACAGAAUUUAGAGACUCUCGAUUUGAGGGGCACUCUAAUUAGAAAACUUCCAUCGACUUGGAGGAAGUGUCAGAUAUCUAUUCGUUCAGGCCAGCAUGCAUUUUGUGUUUUCUGCAGAUAUGUUUGGAAGCAUGCCAGACUUGGAGGAAGUGUCAGAUAUCUAUGA